UAAAUUAGAUGCCAACCAACCCUAGGGAUACUCGGCUGAAUGAUACCCACUGUUUCCAUUUUAACUCGAAUCUGUCGUUGUUUUCGGUUUGGUUGAGAACUGUUAAAGUAACAACAGUUGUCUCUGCUUUGGGUUCCAUUAUAACUCACCAUGGGGGGAACAGCAUUGGUCUCGCUUUUGGCUCAAGUUUUUGAAUUGGUCUUUGAUUUUGGUUCGGAUGAACAGUGAAGGUAACUGAAUUUGUCUCUACUUUUGCAAUGUUUGGGUGAACAGUGAGCGUCACAGCAUUAUUCGUCACAGCUUUUUUGACUCAGUUGAACAGUUAGAGCAGAGACUCUCUAAUAAAAGACGAAACAUGUCGUUUUUCAUAUCAAUGUUGUCUUUGACACUACAUGUACGUACAUGUAUAUGUCUAAAGUGUUGUAUAGAAAUCAGUAAAUUUGAUGCUAGCGUUCGCUUUAAAACGGAGCGUUUGAUUUGUUCAGCUGAUCGAAGAAUUUGUCUAAGUUCCAGUUGUGCGGAGUUGGCCUGAGAGAGCUCUGUCCAAGUGCACGUCUUUCGAAGUUGGCGUUGGCUUUGAUGUUGAAACUUUCGUUCCGUAGAUGCCUGACUCUUCUUUUGUAAGACUCAGUGUCUGGUUAGAGUAAUUGAAUGCGUCUCUGUGUUGUAUGGUUUGGUUGAACAGUAAUCCAGAGUAUCAAAAGAGCAUAGUCUCUGUUUCUGGUUCGGUUUAGUGGUGGGAACAACGAACCUCUGCCAGGUCAGGAAGGAGGGCGUCUGUCGGAAAUCGGGUUGAAUGAUCGAACUUGAUUCCCGAUUUCACGCUUGAAAAAUGUUUAACGAAACUGUUGGAAUUUGAUCAACACUAAAGAUUGCUCUUCCCAUACUCUUUUCAACAAUGAUGGACAACAGUGAUGGAUAGGGAAACAGCGUCAGUGCGAUAUGUCGAACGAGCGCUUGAUCUCAUCAGGAAGAUGUAAAGCUUGUCUGAUCAGAAAGACGUCUUGAUGCUAGAAUAUAUCAUAGUUCAUUUAGAUAUUAGGAUGAUUGCUGCCGUUGUGGUGUACUUUUCUCUCUAGCACCCGCUUGAACACGAAUGAUUCUGUCAGGACCAUGGUUAUUAGAAAGCUGCCAAUCAACUCCCUUCGGAUGUUGCAAAUUGUGUUGUGAUUAGUUAUGGUUGAAUAAAUUGACGAAAAUGAGGCAGUACGGGAACUACACCCAAGUGGGAUUGGAGUACAUCCCUUGGCGGACUAACAUGUCCUCGUCCAUCAACCAACUUGGUGACAGCGGUGGCUCAGCCUACGUAUAUUCAUUCUCAAUUAUCGGUCUCUAUGUGAUAAUUAUUGCAAUUCUUGUGACGAUUCAGUUGAAACGCCGACGCUAUGCAACACCGCCGGGCAAGGACUAUUACAGCGACGACUAUCGGGACAACAAGAAACUUUUGGAGGAGAGUAAAUCGUUGCUGAGAUUGAGUAUAAAGAGGAUGCGGGGUGUGAAGGAUGGAUACUUAUUGGACCAAAUGCCAAAUGAAACCGUAUGACCACAGUUUUACCGAAACGACGUUAUGUGUAAAUACAAAGCAUUGAGUGCUUCCAUCUUUUCAUAGAACUCGUAGAAGUCUCCAUUUUUCCCAUCGCAAGAUAUACUCCUUUGAGGAUUUUGCGUCAACACUGCGAUCGACAGAACUUGCAGAAAUUAUUUUGUAUCCGGUUGCGCUUGCGCAUUGUGCUUGCACACUGUUGUUAGCGCAUGCGCAACCGGUAACACUAUCUGUACAAUUUGUUCUGACUUCUGUCAAUCGUGGCGUUGGUCGAAAUCACGAACAUGCCCAAUGCACAUUGCCACACAGGAGACGUCGCUGCGAUCGCUUAACAUUUUCAGUUUCUAUACGCAAGUUAUUUUUUAUUUUCCUGAAUGGUACCCGACAUGAACUUACAUGCUGCUUAGACCGAAUCGUCGGGCGGGGUGUUUGUCAAUUCAAGGCAAUAUUGUGACUGUAUACAUUCUGAGGUACAUACAUGUAUGUAAAAAUGCUCGUGAUACCGUCGUUUUAAAAGUGGUGACUUCCCUUAAAAUGUUAGACUCGAUGUAUGAUAUAUACAUGUACCAUUGACUGUAAUCUGUCCCGGCUGAUCUGCUGCUGGGUACCGCUCACCACUUCUGUGUAUUCUUCUUCAAACCUGCGUACACUUCCAAGCAAAUGUAGUGUGAGCGACCGCUGAACCCAUCUGUUGUGGAACUCAAUGUCACACUAACUUUGGUAUUGCGCUAAAAGAAAGGUAAAGAUCAAGAUUCGAAAACGAAAACGGGGUGUUGUUUUCUCUGGUCGAGGUCUACAGGUCAAAUUGAUUGUUUUGUGUCAGUUUUUCAAGGCAUACAAGACAUUAAACACACACACCGUUUCGUUUCACUUCUGGCAGCAGGCAUCGCGAUAUCCGUCGUCAAAAUGCUUCCUCGUUUUCGUUCUCGGAGUCGAAAUCUGAACCUCUCCAAACUAAUAUAUGGCGAUGCUCUCCCCAUACAAUAGUUACACCAGAACUGGCCUACUUUCUUGGAGGUAUAUAAUUUUGGUCAAAAGUCUAAAGGAUUGGCUGGGAUACAUUGUGCUAUCCGUGGCUGUGAAAUUUAUACCCAAACAUUUUAUAAUCAUUGUAAUAGAGAGCCCGAAAAGCCAUCAUAUCCUGAGAUGAAAUGUUUUUAAUUGCCUCGGAGACAAGUUCUGAUGUUGGCCGUUGGUGAUAGAGCAGGCUCCGCUCCGGCCAUGAUAUCACAUCCGAAGCCUUGAUCUUUUUCAGAAUAAACCUAACGUCUUCGGCUA